AUUGAACGCUGGCGGCAUGCCUAACACAUGCAAGUCGAACGGAGGUAGGGGCAACUCUACUUCAGUGGCGGACGGGUGAGGAAUGCGUCGGAAUCUACCCUAUGGUGGGGGAUAACACAGGGAAACUUGUGCUAAUACCGCAUGAUGUCGAGAGACCAAAGCAGGGGACCGCAAGGCCUUGCGCGAUAGGAUGAGCCGACGCCCGAUUAGCUAGUUGGUAGGGUAAUGGCCUACCAAGGCGACGAUCGGUAGCUGGUCUGAGAGGAUGAUCAGCCACACUGGGACUGAGACACGGCCCAGACUCCUACGGGAGGCAGCAGUGGGGAAUAUUGGACAAUGGGCGCAAGCCUGAUCCAGCAAUGCCGCGUGUGUGAAGAAGGCCUGCGGGUUGUAAAGCACUUUUGUUCGGGAAGAAAACGGAUCGGUUAAUACCCGGUUCGGAUGACGGUACUCGAAAGAAGACGCACAAGGCUA
rnacentral:rRNA from 1 species